UACGGAGGGUGCAAGCGUUAAUCGGAAUUACUGGGCGUAAAGCGUGCGUAGGCGGUUCGUUAAGUCUGUUGUGAAAGCCCCGGGCUCAACCUGGGAAUGGCAAUGGAUACUGGCGAGCUAGAGUGUGUCAGAGGAUGGUGGAAUUCCCGGUGUAGCGGUGAAAUGCGUAGAGAUCGGGAGGAACAUCAGUGGCGAAGGCGGCCAUCUGGGACAACACUGACGCUGAGGCACGAAAGCGUGGGGAGCAAACA
rnacentral:rRNA from 1 species